GCCAGGUGUGGUGGUUGUGCCUGUAGUUCCAGCUACUGGGGAGGCUGAGGCAGGAGGAUAGAUGGAGCCCAGGGGUUGGAAGCCAGCCUGGGCAACAUAGCAAGACCCCCCUCUC
rnacentral:sRNA from 1 species